rnacentral:rRNA from 1 species
GACGAACGCUGGCGGCGUGCCUAACACAUGCAAGUCGAGCGGAGUCAGUAAGAGGAAGUUUUCGGAUGGAAUCUUAUUGAUUUAGCGGCGGACGGGUGAGUAACGCGUGAGCGACCAACCUUGCACAGGGGGAUAACGGACCGAAAGGUUCACUAAUACCGCAUGAGACCACGGUGUUGCAUGACACAGGGGUCAAAGGAGCAAUCCGGUGCAAGACGGGCUCGCGUCCGAUUAGGUAGUUGGAGGGGUAACGGCCCACCAAGCCUAUGAUCGGUAGCCGACCUGAGAGGGUGAUCGGCCACAUUGAAACUGAGAUACGGUCCAAACUCCUACGGGAGGCAGCAGUGGGGAAUAUUGGGCAAUGGGGGAAACCCUGACCCAGCAACGCCGCGUGAAGGAAGAAGGUUUUCGGAUUGUAAACUUCUGUCCUUGGUGAAGAGAAGAAGACGGUAGCCAAGGAGGAAGCCCCGGCUAACUACGUGCCAGCAGCCGCCGCCG